rnacentral:misc_RNA from 1 species
CCGAGUCUUGCCUCACGGUAGACUCCCAACCCCUGUGACAUACCGUACUUGUUGCCUUGGCAGGCGGAUGCGGAGGCCCUCGGCUCCGUACGUGACUGCCCGCAGAGACCCCUAACUCUGUUUCUUAGGUGACUGUCUGAGUAGCCUAUAUAAUAGUCA